rnacentral:tRNA from 1 species
GAAAAACUAGUUAAAUCUAUAUAACAUUAGAAUGUCAAUCUAAAAUUACUUAAGUGUUUUUCA